GGCUGGAGCGACCGGUCCGCCUCGCAAGGGGUGUGCACUAUGGUUGUCUCCGGCCAUCCUUGGGGAGAACGGCGCUGGCAUUCAGUUGUCGGCGUCGGGAACCCCAUCGUUUACUGUGAAAAAAUUAGAGUGUUUAAAGCAGGCUUACGCCUUUGAAUACAUUAGCAUGGAAUAAUAAGAUAGGACCUUGGUGGUCUAUUUUGUUGGUUUGCACACCAAGGUA
rnacentral:rRNA from 1 species